AACCCGUUAGCUCAGUGGUAGAGCGUGUCCCUCUUCAUGGCAAGGCGCUGGUUCGAUUCCAGAACGGGCUA
rnacentral:tRNA from 1 species